rfam:Bipolaris zeicola 26-R-13 unplaced genomic scaffold scaffold_57, whole genome shotgun sequence.
ACAUACGACCAUAGGCGAAAAAAUCCCUCUGGAUCCCGUCCGUUCUCCACACGAUAAACUUUCGACCGGCGGAUUAGUAGUUAGGUGGGAGACCACUAGCGAAUCCCCGCUGUCGUAUGUU